CAGUAGCCGCGGUAAUACAGAGGGUGCGAGCGUUAAUCGGAUUUACUGGGCGUAAAGCGUGCGUAGGCGGCUUCUUAAGUCGGAUGUGAAAUCCCUGAGCUUAACUUAGGAAUUGCAUUCGAUACUGGGAAGCUAGAGUAUGGGAGAGGAUGGUAGAAUUCCAGGUGUAGCGGUGAAAUGCGUAGAGAUCUGGAGGAAUACCGAUGGCGAAGGCAGCCAUCUGGCCUAAUACUGACGCUGAGGUACGAAAGCAUGGGGAGCAAACAGGAUUAGAUACCCGUGUAGUCCCUGUCUCUUAUAC
rnacentral:rRNA from 1 species